UCAUGCCGAUGUAUUGAAAAUCCGAUGUAAUCAACAAUUUCAGGUGUAUAAUAACAUAUUUUCAAUGCUAUAUUACAUCGCCCCAAAAUUACACGGAAACAUCAUUACCAAUUUUCAACACGUUGCUGUUGUGUAAUAUUCACAUCUGAAAAUGUUGAAUAUUACACAGAAACAGCUGCAACCAACUCGUUCCAACUUACGUUAGUGAUAUUACACUAAUUCGAUGUCAUUUCACAUUCGGCAUCUAUGCUAUAAUACAUCUCGCAACACUGCUCAGACUUUGUUUUGGUCGGCGGUUGUUGGCCGCCAUUAGUGCGCGAUCGCGUUUUAUUUUGUGGAUUUCCGGAGUUUCCGACGCAAAAAACUCCUGAAAAUAGUGAAUUUAGAAACAUCGGCCAGGAAGGCAAUCAACGAAGCAGGAAAUUAAGACGUCUCUGGAGAAAAUGUGCUCCCUUGUGAUCCUUCCGGCAUAACCGUCUCAACCGGUAAACCAGUCGGGAGAAUUCAACCUUUUUCGACGUUUGUUGUCCAGCAAAAGCCAUGAAACCGGCCAUACCAAAGGAAGUCUGGUGGCUCAUUUCAAUAAUCUGCCCAUGGAUAGACUUGGGAAUAAGUGGAGACGCUCGUAAACGGGAUCCGACGUCCCGUUUAUCUGCCAUUCCAAUCGAUCUUCAGCAACUGGCGCGCUGCAAUGAUGUGAGCUUCUAAUGAUGAACCUAAAAGGAGCUUCGGAACAACUACGGUAAAAAAGGCUCAACAGAGUACGAACUUUCCACAAUGGUUCACAGUCUAAUCAGGAAGUCAGCACACAAGAUCGAGCGUCUUCUGGUAUUCAUCACUCUGGGUUUCAUUGCGAAGGCCUAUUACUGUUAAAAAUAAUAAUAUGUAAUAAAAAAAUAAAUAAAAUUUAAUACUGUCUGUUUAACCAUUC
rnacentral:lncRNA from 1 species